GCCUCUAUAGCUCAGUUGGUAGAGCAUCCGCCUUGUAAGCGGAAGGUCAUCGGUUCGAACCCGAUUGGAGGCU
rnacentral:tRNA from 1 species